CGGGAGCUUGCUCCUUGAUUCAGCGGCGGACGGGUGAGUAAUGCCUAGGAAUCUGCCUGGUAGUGGGGGACAACGUUUCGAAAGGAACGCUAAUACCGCAUACGUCCUACGGGAGAAAGCAGGGGACCUUCGGGCCUUGCGCUAUCAGAUGAGCCUAGGUCGGAUUAGCUAGUUGGUGGGGUAAUGGCUCACCAAGGCGACGAUCCGUAACUGGUCUGAGAGGAUGAUCAGUCACACUGGAACUGAGACACGGUCCAGACUCCUACGGGAGGCAGCAGUGGGGAAUAUUGGACAAUGGGCGAAAGCCUGAUCCAGCCAUGCCGCGUGUGUGAAGAAGGUCUUCGGAUUGUAAAGCACUUUAAGUUGGGAGGAAGGGCAGUAAGUUAAUACCUUGCUGUUUUGACGUUACCGACAGAAUAAGCACCGGCUAACUCUGUGCCAGCAGCCGCGGUAAUACAGAGGGUGCAAGCGUUAAUCGGAAUUACUGGGCGUAAAGCGCGCGUAGGUGGUUUGUUAAGUUGGAUGUGAAAGCCCCGGGCUCAACCUGGGAACUGCAUCCAAAACUGGCAAGCUAGAGUACGGUAGAGGGUGGUGGAAUUUCCUGUGUAGCGGUGAAAUGCGUAGAUAUAGGAAGGAACACCAGUGGCG
rnacentral:rRNA from 1 species